GCAAAAAAAAAGGUUAGCCAUUGUUACUUUGUUAUCAAAAGCAGUUGUUGAAUAAUUAACUGGGUGAAUAAUCAUCCAUUAGUCGACAAAUUCUGACAGCCUUAAUGUGUGAAGGAUGCUCAGUCUGUAAUAUGAUGAUAUCACUGUGAUCCCAAAGCCUGGACUCAGAAGUCCGUAUAUCCACAGCCACACAGAGACUAAAAAUAAGUGCUCCAUUUUGGCUAAAUCCAUAUGAAGAGAUUAUUGGAAGCCAUAACUGUGGAGGAUAUAAUCCACCAAUGAAAUGUGGAUUCCUGAGACACAGGGCAUUGUCUGCAUGUGUCUUUUUGCCCUAUCCUCCGUUAACUCCCCACCCGGCUGCUCCUGAAUAAUGUACGACAGGCCUCCUCUCUGUCCAAUGGCAGAGGAGCGUUUCAUCAAGCUAUCUCCUGUCAACCAAUCCUGGCGCACCCGGUGAUCCAUGCGCAUUGGAGCGCGGUCCCCCUAACGGCCCCUCCUUUCCCUCAAACGGACGUAAUCUGUGGAUCAGAGAGGCAGUCGCUCAGUCUGUGGAGUCGGAGUCGACCGGAGGUGAUGGGAGGUGAAACAGCCUUAGUGGCGCUCCACGAAAUCACAUAAGGAGUCAAACCUGCACUUACAUGCAGGGCGGUGAAGGGAAAACCAGAACAAUGCGCACCGGCUUUGUGAGGACCAUCUGUCAUGGAAUCGACGUUACAUCCGGCCGCAGACAUUCCGGGUGACACACCUGAAGGAAGAGCAGGCAGCAGACGGCCAUCGGUCACAUCACAGUCGUCUAUCACCGAGCCAUGACGCACGGUGUUCACGCAGUGCCUCCAGAUGCGGACAAGUGAGACUGCAGGAAGAUUGUUUCCAGCAGGUAUACAGUUAACACCACUGAUUCUUAAAGCUUUUUGUACAAGCCGACAAACUUAACGCCUCUAUCCUGCAAUUCAUUUCUAGAUUUCUCUCACCAAAAGAGUUACUCCUAUAUUUUUACAUUGAUAUUACUCCCCAAACAGUAAAGAAAACACAGAUAUUUACCACGCUGAAUCUGGAAUAUGUGGCUAUUUUUGUUGAUUUCUUUUAUGUAGAUUCUUCUCAACUGCUGCAUGAGUUAAAUUAAAUUAAAAAACAAAACUUAAUUUUUAAUGUGAGAAUUAAGUUUUAUUUCUUUCUGUGGACUGUUACAGGAAUUCAUUUGGCACUUUUUUCUAUCCAUUUAAUUGUUUUACUGCCACCUACUGGGUCUGUUUUUCCAUUGCUAGAUCUUUUCUCACACAUGGGAAAAAUCUAUUUUUUUUAGUGAAUCAUAAGAAAAAGAGAAAAUACAGGUCAGCAGCAUAUUAAAUUUACUUUCAUGUAUUAUUUUAAGGAAAAUGACAUAGACUUAACUGUAAUACAUCACAAAUUAAGCUUAAAAAAUAAAAAAUCUGAAACUGUAGACCCACUCUUUAGACGUUACUGCUGCAUGUUUCUCAUAAACUCUAUAGUUUCUCUUUUGUCCCGCCUCCUGCUGCAGACUCGCUGCACUCACAGCUCCAGCAUGAACAUAAAUCAGCGUACAGUAUAUGGAAGGCGACGUCGCUCUUCAUUAGACUGCAGUUAGGAAUGAAAGCCUAUCUGGCUGCAGCUGUGGAGGAGCUCCAAAAGAUGGGGACGUUUAUUGUCAGGAACAAAUAGAGGCCUUUUUAUUUUGUCUAGCAGCUGACGCCUCUCCCCACCCACUCCUCCACAACCGCUUUUGUCAGUAAUGUAGAGUGGCCUGCUCAGGCACGAACAAGAGACUGGGAGGGUUUUACAACAAAAAUAAACUUAAACUUUAACAAAAAAAAAAUAGAGGAGGGGUUUUGUCCGUGAUUGGCUGAUGGAGGGAGCACACGGCUGUUUGCCAUAUGGUGUAAUUAUCUGCCAUUUUAAAAGAUUAUGUGCCUUCACUAAUAUAGUGUAUAAGUGUGUGUGUGUGUUGGAGAUUUGAUCUCUUGUACACCCGAUGUAACGAUGAAGCUCUGUGCCCCCCGUUUAAACUGGGUUAGCUAUGAUUUUCCCACUCAAAAUCCCCAGGUCCCUGCCCCCUCACACACACACACACACACACACACACACACACACACACUGAGUAUCCACAUAUACACAGAGUCUGUGAACAAAAAAGAAAUAUUCAGCUGUGGAGCGGGGGUCCCUCAAAGGGCGCGACAUUGAACUGGGGGGAUUAAGGAGAAAUAGCUGGCUGACAUAGGGGUUGCCAUGGCGAAGCCCCCUUUUCUGCUCUCCCUCGACCCUCCGCCUAUUCUUCAUUGUGGCGUGAGGUGUUUUCUGGAGCAGCGCAGAUCUAAUAUGGCUUAUAUGAAUUCAGUCUCUUAUCUGCCGUGUCCCGACAGGACGGAGACCCCCAGAUCACCCACUGCACUUUAUUUUGUUUCCCUCUUGUUUAUAAAGUGGCCGUAAAUAUCCCAACACAUCGUUGGACAUUAUUUCUCUCCCAUAAAAUAUAUUUCUGUCUCAACGGUCACACCAAUCAUUUUGAUGCUUGUUUGCAUAUUCAUAAAGAAAAGGGCCUGACGGAGAGAAACACGAGGGGAGAUGGAGGGGGGGGGGACUUAUUCAACGUAUCAAACCUACUCACAGCAUAAAAACCAAAUUGUCUGUUUUAUCACCUGUGAAUUACAGCUGCAAUAAUGCCAUGCAUUAGUCAUCCUUUGUAGCCCAGUCAGUCUAUUAUCAUGCCAGUCUGAAGUCGACCUGUCAGACUCACCGGGGUAAUUGAUGCAGGCUUGGCAUGUGUGAUGACAUCAGCAGCGCGAGCCCAUGAAUGACUGUAGAUCAGCGUUUACCAUCCUGACGUCAACCCCCGGUCUGCUCUCUGGUGCAGUGACACUGUCGCUGGUUGUUCCCCGGCCGCGCUCUGCCUCUGACAAUGGGAGCUCUCAGUCUGUGGUCAGGCGAUGGCUGGGGCAGAAAACACCAGGCUUCACAGUAGGACAUCGUACAGCAUUGUUCUCCCGUCUAGAUAUUCAUAAGAACUGUGGUGGAACUGUUCUGAGCACAGACAGACAGAGAGGGUGUCAGUGAAACAGGGCAAAUGUGGAGUCUCUCCUAACACUAAACAUUUCACAAAGUUAUCUUCAUUAUUAUCCACUGUGAAAAUCAGUCUUAAAUACAGGCCGUUCCUGGCAGACAUUGUCAACGACGGCCUGAUUUUGAUAUGUAAAAAUAGCAAAGGGCAGACGGCUCCACCUGUCAUCCUUAGGACUAUAACUCUGGUGCAUGUAGUACACAGCAUAUGACAUAUGUGUUCUGUGCAUCAACUAGGACACAGCCACACGUUUCAAAGUAAUGACUAAUGGUAAACCUAAAUAGACCAGGUAGCUAAAAAAGCUCAAAAAUGAAGCUAAAUCUUAGCAACAACAUUAGCCCAAAUACUCCUAUAUGAAUCUAUAUACAAAAUAUUUAUUAUUAGCAAAAAGAUUAAAUAGAAAAUUAAUUAACAUGCAAAAGUAGAGCAGGUUUACAAAAUCCUGAAAGACCAGAAAAAAAACAUACUUGAUAAAUUUUUAGCUAAAACGUUCAAAUACAUCUACAAAUGUCAAAUAGACCGGAUUGUAGGAUUAAAUAUUAGACCAAACUAUGGGAAAGUUAUAUUUUGAGGCCAUUAUCAGAUCGUAUGUUUGGACCGUCUGUUUUCUAACGGUUCCAUGUGGAGGAGGUGUCUGCUUUGAAAAUGUUUCUGCCUCCGUCACAUGAAAGAUGAAUGGAUUUCCUUCUCUAAUGUCAGUUGCAUUAAACAUUACAUUUAAAUAAUAAAUAGCAGCACUUCAUUCCAAAGCCAUUGAUGAAAAUGUAGCUAUGAAAAAAACAUGCUCAGGAUUUAUAGAUUAUUCAGUGUAGAUGGACUUUUUAAUGGGACAAACAGUGUUGUGACCACAGUGCUGGUAUAUUUUAUUUAAAUGAGUCAUUUUUAUAAAUGUAAAGUCUGACAUUUUUCCUUCUCCCUAAUUUUCAGAUGUCGUGCCGGAGGAAUUUAUUCUUAUUUGUGUGUGAUUUAAAUGUUCCAGCUCAAACACACUCCACUGUGUGUUGUCUGUUAAACAUGACGAGACGUGACCGUGGAGCCUGUGGACAGAGCAGGACCCACUCUGACACUGUCCUCUGUCAUUACGUCCCUGUUCUCUGCAUCCUGACCUCAGUGGUUUGAGUGAUGACCGUGGCUGUGACCUCCUUCCUUGGCAUGCCUGUCCUCCCUCCUCCUCCUCCUUGUCCACCCUCCUACUCCUCCUCCUCUGUCCUCCUGUUGUCCUGUCUGUCAGUUCAGCUCACAGUCAAGACCUGCGUGUCUCGGGGAACAUUCAACGCUGUCGGUGAGUUUGGUAUGGAUCACAUGAAAACCAUCGACCGUUGAUUGUGCCCCGCGGCUCGCUGCCAUGACGUCAGGAAGGAGAAGAGAAAAGGUAAAACUUUAAGAGGCAAAAAAAAAAAAAUACAGGGACUGAUUUAGGCAGAUUCCACAGCACCAAACGUCCAAAGGUCACAAUCAACAUUCAUUGCUGUCGCUGGGUUGGACUUAUGUAGAAAAGCUCACUGAACAAUGAGUGCAACUGUGGCCCAAAUCUCCCUGACUCCACCAAUCAGCCCACCGGAUGUCACUGCCUCUGUUGUCUUUAUUUAAACUACUUCUUGUUUUAACUUCCAUUUUCCUCCCCUCCUGUUCACUGGCAGUCUUCAGAAGUGAGAGAGGCAGAGAGAGAGAGAAGACGAUCGAGACACAAAUAGACUUCUGGCUGCUUGAUUGUCCUCCUCCUUCUCCUUCUCCUCUCCUCUAAUUGGUGGUUAUGUGUGCAGCAAGGGGGAAGGAAGCGGAGUGAAUGUGUAAUCAUUUGGAGUCUCUUCUCCUCUUUAGAUGUUUCAUCACUCUGUUUUUUUUGUUUGUCUAAUUAUACACCAGGCUGGGUUAACUCUGUGUUAACUGCGCUGGUAGGAAUCAGCAAAUUACAAAGGGAAGGAACGAGGCUAGUUUAAAAAAAAGUGUCAAAAUGAAAGGCUCAGCGGCAAAAAUAUUUGUAAUUUGAUGUGUGAUGUGUGUGAGUUUCUGCUGCAAAUAUGUGGAAAAAAUACAGUUGUUUUCACCUUUAUGACCUGGGACGUCUCACUAUGUGUGUGUGUCUGCUGUGAUUGAAGACCUCUAAACUAAAGCCAGGUGCCUCAUGGGAAAAAACAGACCGUGUGUAUAACCUUGUGUUCCUGCAGACCGUCUGUGAGUGGCCAUUCUUCAUCGUCCUCUUCUGUAGCACCUUCACUGACACUGCGUCUCCCAUCAGUAACUCAGGUGUGGUGUUCACACACACACACACACACACACACACACACACACACAUGCUGUAAAUAUAUAUUUAAGUUCAGGUGUGUGUUUUAUGUCCUGUUGAUGUUUGCUGUUAACUUUUAUCGACUCCUUUACUCUUCCAAUAAAGUCAGGAACCACAGCACUACAGUGUGUGAUGUUGUCACUUCCUGUGUGAAUUC